rnacentral:lncRNA from 1 species
CUAAAGUAGGUGAUCUACGGGUUUUUGUAUCCUCUGAGAGCCCCUUUGGUUUUCAUCUGUAGGAAGUACAACGCUAAAAAAAAAAAACCGUGCUAUACAGCAUUUGAGAAAAGGUCAGGUUAAUGGUAAUCUGGUUAAGGGAAGUGUGCCCACCCCCAAAGAGAUAUAAAGUAUUUACCGUCGCAAAGGCCAACGGUCCAUUGUUUAAUAAAUUAGAAGGUACCCAGAUACAGAAACCAUAGAGUCACUGAAAUGUUAACAAGUUAAUAUAUUUCAAAGCAAAUAUAACGGUGUACACAUAAAAACCAUUUAAUACAAAGUGGAAACAGUUAGAUGCACCUACUGCUGUGGAUUUUUGGUUAUUUUCAGGUCUUUUGCUGAAACUUGGAAGCCAUGCUCUUCAUUUCAGUGACACCAGCUUAACGGUGAAACUGAUCUACAGCAAGCAAACCGCUGCCGCUUCGGUCCGCUAGGAGAGACAGCACCGCUGCAGCUGAGCCUCCCCACAGGGGCACCCACACCAAACAGACUGUGCACAUUUGUCCCACUCACUAAGCUACACAAGAAACCAGAUGUGGCUCAAUAGCUGCUUCUGAACGGUGAAGCUCAGUAAGUGCAUUCUUGCUGUACAAAAUAAUAAUAAUAAUAAUAUUAAAGUGACAACAUAGAGAACUGGCAACAGAUAACCACAUCUGCCUAAAUAUACACAUAUGAUACAUAAUUAUGGGCCAUGGUGGCCAGUAUGUAAGUCUGUUCAGGAGCAAAGCCUUCAUUGCACAGAUUAGAAAACUGAACAAAUGCUUUUAUAGAGCAAAGCACAAGCUUUGGUUUAUGCUUAAACUGUGAAUACCAGGCCUUCAAUUUUUAUUAAUAACAUCUAUUAUGAAAAAUAUGUCAUUUCAUUGCUACAUGUGAUAGUCAUUCCUCUAUAGUUAAGCACUUCAUUCCAUACAAUGAAAUGAAGCUCUAUAUAUCUUAUUCAAUGAAUCCAUUGGCUGUAUCUAGACUGGGAAUGCAAUAAAUCUAUGAAAAUCCACUGAAUUACAAGAAAAUAUUUGACUCAUUACCAUCACAAUUCCACACCCCCCUCCCCCCACUUUUAAAAGGCAGCAUAUAUAAAAAAUAACUCCCAUAUGGCACAAAAGUAGGAUUCUCAAGGGAAAGCAAAUGAUAAAGGGUCAGGGGAAGCUUCACUUUGACAAGAUCAACACAUUGCAUUCAGUCCAAGAGGAAUUUGCACCCUAUACAAAGUGAGCUUCCCUGUGUUCUAGCUCUUGGAUCCUUUUUGGCCUUAGUCUCUGGUAAGCAGGUUUCAAAUCUGUGGAGUGAGUAUCCUCUGAGCCAGUUUUUUGUUCAUUUGUGCUUUGUCCAGGAUUGCCCGAUGGAAGUGCAGAGCUCCUAGCCAGUUUCACAGUAUCCUGCUGAAGCACAGAGCUAGCACUUGUUGAUGCACAAGCUUUGGCUUGUUCUACUGAACUCCUUUCACUUUGUUUGGAUUUGUUAGGAGGUGGUUUAUAAAAUGUCCCUGGGGGUGGUUGUAGUGUUCUUGGUGCCCUGAAGGCAGCAAGAGAAUGGGCAUCAGGACUGUUCCCAUCUGUUGCUGUCCUUCCUGACCUGACAGAAAGAGAAUAUGGCUUACUAGGAAGAAUGGCAUUAGCUGAACUGUUACUACAUGAUGAUGAUAAGGCACCUGCAGUUCCACCCUCAAGUGCUCGGUUCUCCUGGGGCACAUUUGUCACAAUCAUUGCUGUCCUUGCUGUGAUAUCAUAUUGUUUAUAUUGCUUGUCCCAGGUUUUUUGAAGCAUCUGAGUGUCACAACAAGAAAGUCUGCAGAAUGUAUUGACAGCAGGGAGUGCCUUAACCUCUGAAACUUCUUCAAUAGUAGGGCUUCUGCCAACCUUUUCUGGACUUACAACUCCUGCAUUUCGUGAAUUUCUCUCAUUCAAAACACAGGGAGGAAGUAUUCGAUCUACAGGUAAGCUCACAGGACGAAUAGCUGGUUUUGUCCUUGGAACCCUCAAUGGAACUUUGGUAAUUUGACGAUUAGGUUUUGCAGGAAAUAAGUUAACUUUACAGCUCUCUUCACUUGCAGAAACAAAUGAAUGACUGUCUUUCUCUGAAGCUGGAUUCACAGCAUCACCUAGAAACACAAAUAGAUGUUACUUGAGUCUUCAGAAUUUUUAGACAGAAUGCAAGCUUCACCAAUGACCUCUUCACAGCUCAUACAGCAAUGGGAUAACAGCUUUUAGCUAUUGGAACACCCUGCUAACAGAAGUCAGAGCAAAAGUAAAUGAGAACAAGAGAAAAGACAUUCCUCCCCAGAAAAGUACAAGAGAAGUGACUCACUUCCUUCACAGCAACAAAUGACUUCCUCUGCUGCUGUGGUUCCCUCUCUUCUGCUGAUAAAGCAACUCUGACUGUAAUGGCAUUUUCUUCAGUCUGUGAUGUGCUCAGAAACGGUUGCAAUGAAACAUCAAAUAUCUUCUCAUAGUAUGUUAUAAGCAGCUCCACUACCCGGGCCUGAUAUGGAUAAUCCACAAGUGAGGAUAAAGAAACUGUAGCAUCUGUUUGGCGUGGCCUGAUCAGAGUUGGGCCAAAUAUUAUGCCAAGGUUGCUAGCUGACAUUUUAUUUUCAUCAGACUGUUCUGUAACCCUGCAUAAGAAGAGGUGAGAAAAACUCAAAGAGUUAGAGGGUUUCACUACUUCAGAAAUAUUUUAGAUGUUCAUUCUCAUUUAUAUCUGAAGAG